UGGAAGUAAGAUACUCAGAUGUAAGUGAGACGUACAUUUGACACAAUAACUUCCUAGAUAAAAUACCUACUUUCUGAUGACUGUAGUGACUAAGUUCCCACUACAGACAGAUACGAAGUGGACAAUC
rfam:Octopus bimaculoides Scaffold3188_contig_61, whole genome shotgun sequence.